rnacentral:misc_RNA from 1 species
GAUGAAGAACGCAGUGAAAUGCGAUAAGUAAUGUGAAUUGCAGAAUUCAGUGAAUCAUCGAAUCUUUGAACGCACAUUGCGCCCCCUGGUAUUCCGGGGGGCAUGCCUGUCCGAGCGUCAUUACAACCCUCAAGCUCAGCUUGGUGUUGGGCCCCGCCGCCCCGGCGGGCCCUAAAGUCAGUGGCGGUGCCGUCCGGCUCCGAGCGUAGUAAUUCUUCUCGCUCUGGAGGUCCGGUCGUGUGCUCGCCAGCAACCCCCAAUUUUUUUCAGGUUGACCUCGGAUCAGGUAGGGAUACCCGCUGAACUUAAGCAUAUCAAUAAGCGGAUGA